GGGGAUUUAGCUCAGUGGUAGAGCACUUGCCUAGCAAGCACAAGGCCCUGGCUUCAGUCCCCA
rfam:Rattus norvegicus chromosome 9, whole genome shotgun sequence.